rnacentral:misc_RNA from 1 species
AGCCCCGUAAGGGGAU